AAUUAAAAUAGUACCCUCUCAAGUUGGAAGCUAAGUUCAAUGAAACAUAUGCACAAGUAUUCAUGAUUUGAACACACUUAUUUUCUAUGGUACCAACUAAAAAACACAUGUGGUUAUGCUUUAAAAUUUCCAACCAUAAUUCUUAUCUUUAGAAGUGAUUAUUGUAAUGUUUCACUUAAUGGGGCAGAUAUCUCUAUCUUAAUGAGACGUUCUAAUCUCC
rnacentral:lncRNA from 1 species